rnacentral:misc_RNA from 1 species
UUUCCGUAGGUGAACCUGCGGAAGGAUCAUUGUCGAAGCCUGCCCAUCAGAACGACCCGCGAACUUGUAUACACAACCCGUGGCAGGGGCGAUCUCGCCCCGUGCCCUCGAACGGCAGGGAAACACUCGUGCCUUCUUGUCGAACAACUAACCCCGGCGCGGUCUGCGCCAAGGAAAUUCAAUGAAAGAGUGCCUCCGGUCGACUCGGAAACGAUGCGCGUGUCGGAGGAGAAUCUUGUACAAAACCAUAACGACUCUCGGCAACGGAUAUCUCGGCUCUC